UACGAAGGGGGCGAGCGUUGUUCGGAUUUACUGGGCGUAAAGGGCGCGUAGGCGGCCCUCCUUGUCGCGUGUGAAAGCCCCGGGCUCAACCUGGGAACGGCGCGCGAGACGGGGGGGCUGGAGUUCGGGAGAGGAGCGUGGAAUUCCCAGUGUAGAGGUGAAAUUCGUAGAUAUUGGGAAGAACACCGGUGGCGAAGGCGACGCUCUGGACCGAGACUGACGCUGAGGCGCGAAAGCGUGGGGAGCAAACAGG
rnacentral:rRNA from 1 species